rnacentral:rRNA from 1 species
GGGCCCGCACAAGCGGUGGAGCAUGUGGUUUAAUUCGAUGAUACGCGAGGAACCUUACCAGGGCUUAAUGAUAGUCUGACAGGGGUGGAAACACCCCCUCCUUCGGGCAGAUUACAAGGUGCUGCAUGGUUGUCGUCAGCUCGUGCCGUGAGGUGUCAGGUUAAGUCCUAUAACGAGCGCAACCCCUGCCGUUAGUUGCCAGCAUGUAAUGAUGGGAACUCUAACGGGACUGCCGGUGCAAACCGCGAGGAAGGUGGGGAUGACGUCAAAUCAUCACGGCCCUUACGUCCUGGCUACACACGUGCUACAAUGGCCGGUACAGGAGGCAGCCACACCGCAAGGUGGAGCG